GGAGUUAGCCGGUGCUUCUUCUGUGAGUGAUGUCCUUCCUGCCGGCUAUUAACCCGCAGGCCUUCUUCCUCACUGAAAGUGCUUUACAACCCGAAGGCCUUCUUCACACACGCGGCAUGGCUGGAUCAGGGUUGCCACCAUUGUCCAAUAUUCCCCACUGCUGCCUCCCGUAGGAGUCUGGGCCGUGUCUCAGUCCCAGUGUGGCUGAUCAUCCUCUCAGACCAGCUACGGAUCGUCGCCUUGGUGAGCCGUUACCUCACCAACCAGCUAAUCCGACAUAGGCUCAUCCGAUAGCGCGAGGCCCGAAGGUCCCCCGCUUUCCCCCGUAGGGCGUAUGCGGUAUUAGCCUGGGUUUCCCCAGGUUAUCCCCCACUACCGGGCAGAUUCCUAUGCAUUACUCACCCGUCCGCCGCUCGCCACCAGGGAGCAAGCUCCCCGUGCUGCCGCUCGACUUGCAUGUGUUAGGCCUGCCGCCAGCGUUCAAUCUGAGCCAGAAUCGAACCCUGA
rnacentral:rRNA from 1 species